UUUUGCAUGUGAUGACUUGGCCAAGCUGAGCCAACAGAGGCCUGCCGGGUACAGUUCCAGUCAGGUGAUAUACAUAGCCAACAUUUACAUUUUUGCAAAUGUAUCUUCAUGUCCAUUUAUUUCAAACACCACUCAGGUCAAUGCAAAUGAAGUUCAACUUUUAUAGCCUCAUUCAGAAGGCAUCCAACGUUUGACCCUUGGAUAGUGAAAACCACAGCUGGGUUUCAUAAAAGAGGAGAGGAGAGGAGAGAUAGGUGCCUGAAGUUCCUGCUUGAAAUGGGCAGAUGGAAUAGGCUUACUGCUCAAACAUACCAAAAUCAUCUGCGUUGUUAUUUUUACUACGUUCCAUUAACAGCUACUUGAUUCAAUGCCAGUUACCACAGUUGUGUUCUGUACCAUCUGAAUAUGAAAGCCUGCCAAUCGCCUAUAAAUACACAGAUGUGUUUUCUCACAGCUUUCUCAUUCAACCCUCUCACAUUGUUUUAUUUUCGAUCAGGACUUUGCUUCUGGUCUAUUUUCAGGAACAUGGGAUUUAAUUCUGGAAAUGACCCCAAAGCAGCACGGUAGCAGAACUAAGAGGUGGGCUGGUCAAAAAAAAAAAAAAAGUUUGUGCUUACAGCGUCUGCAUUCCAUAAAUUCUUAACCCAACUUACCAGUCAUCAUUGUAAUCGUCAUUAUCAUCAUCAUCAUCAGUCUACUACCUUUAACCCGUCACUUAUCCCGGCAGUGUACUGCCGAGUCACGUGCAAGAAACGAAACAAAACCCUCAUCGGGAAAAAAAAAAAAAAAGAAGAAGCAGAGUCCAGACGAGAUCCUUUUAAGGAAGCAGUUUGGGUUCUUAACAACGGGUAAUCAAAUAGACUCGGGUCACCACUACAGCAAGUAUCUCAGAGAGCUCAUAAAAAAGGAAACUAAAUAAUUGUCUUCAAAUAAACCUUUUCAUUUGCAUGCAAGCAGGCAGUUUCAUUGUCAAAUAAUUCACUGAGCGAGCCAUAAUUCUGUUGUUGUUUAGAGAAGGAGCCCUCUAAAGACUUCCUUACUUUGAAAAAUUAGUUUCCUCCAACAUGGUGAUUAACUUUCAUCCAUAAACAGGAAGUUUAUUAUCUCCAGACUCGUGCAAUCAGUUCAAGCUAGCCGGAUGCGGAUGCUUGCGCAAAAGCGUUAAAAUGAUUCUGGUGCUAGAAGAGUCUUAUUUUUUGAAAGUUGCCUUCAAGUGCUAAUCUAACAGCGAACAGCUCUCAAAUGCAAGAGAAAGCAGCGGGGAGGGACGGCUUAAAAAGUGCAGUGUUUGUGUUUGAGACUCUUUCAUCCCGGUGAUGGAAGAAGGCUCCAGAUGCUUCCUGCAGCCGAUUUCGUCACUCCGCGCAAACGCCUUUGGCCACUUCUACUUAACUGUUGUCAUUGGAGACAUUAUUUAUGGGCCCAACCCAGAUAAAGCUGCAACACACAAAGCCAAUUAUACUAAAGUCAUUCUUCAAGAGCUCGCUCGGCUGGAUAUAAACAGAUGUCUCGUGUAUGCAUUUUUAUGUUCACUUUGCUGCAGACGUUGGCUAUUGACGCAGGAAGCGGAGGAUGAUGUUGACAUCUAAAAUAACAACCAUUAACGAAGAGAAGUGGGAAAUGACAACACGGUCACGGCCGUGUCUCAGGGAAGUGCCGCCAAGUGAUGAAGUAAUGGCAGCCUUUUGUCUUCCCUCUCCAUAGGAUAACUCGCUUGUGUUUCCUCUGCAGUGCAAGUUGGGGAAAACAUGGCGAGAGAAUCUCCUUCAUUGUGGUCAGACUUGGCCCCCCAUAACGUUUCCUUGCGGUGGCAUCGUGUGGUAAGGAGGCAGCCAAAAUCCUGCAGAACCAUUUUGCUCUGUAAGCGGAGCUGCCAAAGUCAACGAAUCAUCCAAUCGGCGCAGGUUUUGGGUUUCCUGUUUGUCUGUCAAGAGAAAACUGCCAGGUGCCAAUGACAUGGAACAUUUGAACACUCACUUGAAGGAGUGGAUAAAGGAUUUUAGGAUAGACUUGACUGACCGCCAAAAAUGAUGUAGCUGGUAAAUCUAUAGGUCACUGAUUCAACUUUUACUUUGCACUUCACAAUUUUGCCUUCUGAAUAGUGCUUUUAUUAAAAAAAAAAAAAAAAGCCAGAAAA